GAUGAAGAACGUAGCGAAAUGCGAUAAGUAGUGUGAAUUGCAGAAUUCAGUGAAUCAUCGAAUCUUUGAACGCACAUUGCGCCUCUUGGUAUUCCAUGGGGCAUGCCUGUUCGAGCGUCAUUUGUACCUUCAAGCUUUGCUUGGUGUUGGGUGUUUGUCUCGCCUCUGCGUGUAGACUCGCCUUAAAACAAUUGGCAGCCGGCGUAUUGAUUUCGGAGCGCAGUACAUCUCGCGCUUUGCACUCAUAACGACGACGUCCAAAAGUACAUUUUUACACUCUUGACCUCGGAUCAGGUAGGGAUACCCGCUGAACUUAAGCAUAUCAUAAGCGGAGGA
rnacentral:misc_RNA from 1 species